rnacentral:lncRNA from 1 species
ACUUCCGGUUUCCUUUCCCUCAGCUAUUCCAUGGCUUUUCGUGUGGACAAAUCGGGAGGUGGUGUAAACUGGUUUUUGGUGAAAUUCGGCUCGGCCUCAUGCGAACCUAUCUAGGUCCGUCUCUGGAGUGGCCUGUCAUCGAUCGCGCCCUCCAUCGCUGAGCGACACAAGUGGAACCCCCCAGGACUGCAUUCUGCGUAGGUGACCUGUGUGGCGCGGGCCGGGCGGGGCCUUUUUGUCCUUGGGCAAACGUGGUAUACUUUCUCAGUGGUGGUUGGAAGGAAAUUUGUUGCCCUGUCAUUUCGCAAGUAUGGAAAAAGACCUAAAGGAGAAUUUAGCAGCUGCAGCCGCUGUUUUUAUUGCGUACUUUACUAGCGCCAACUCUUUAAUAAUCGCUUGUUAGUUGUUACCCCUGUUUUAUGGGUCAAGAGACUCAAUAUAUCAGUACUUUGGUAAGGCCAGGCAGCAGGUAAGUUGUAAAACCAGUAAAAAAACACAGGUCAUUAGUCAAAAGAGUGCUUCAGGUCUCCUGACUCCAAAUCCGAGAAUCCUUUCACUGUAGCAUGUUUACUGCUCAAAUAUUUCUACAACCCUAUUGCUUAACAACAGGAAUGAAUUAUUUCACCAUUUGUUGCAAACGUAUGGGUCACGUUUUGUGCCAGCAGCAGAAAAUACAGAAAUUAGUAAGAAUUACCUGCCCUCCAGGGGCAUCACCAACCUGGAUUCCCCUCUCGGCCCAGUUUUUCCACCCUUAUUGCCUUCUCCCUUCAGGAAUAAUGAACUCGUCCUGGAAGCGUACCUUACUUUUUAAUAUCUCUGCCUUGUCAUGUGCUGUUCGUCUUACCAGGAAACUACCCUGCUUUUCCCCCAGUUUUGGUCUGUGAACACAUUUGGGAAAUUCUUCUGAUCCUACCGCUACUCUCUUGAGAGAGAGAAACAAGGGAAAAAAAAGUUAAUUGCCUGAGGAUAUACUGCUAGUGUUGCGGGACAAAUAGAGACGGGAGAGGCCAAACAGAAUUCAGGACAACCCUUUAUUAUUAAGCGCGCUAGGGAGGGAAGCAGGAACUCGUGGUGCCUCAAGGAACGUGAAACGGUGGAACACAGAUAAGCCUCUCCAUGAAGAAACAGCUCAGAUUUGACCAAGAUCACACAAGUAGGAGUUGAGGAAUUGGAACCCACUAUGACUGACUCCAAAUUAAUAUAGUGUUUAUAGCCACUUACA